rnacentral:misc_RNA from 1 species
GGUAGUGAUAAUUUCUAUUUUUUCUUGAGUAAACUUCAGUUAAGUAAUUGUCUCGAGUAUUUGUAAGAUGUAGGUAAACUUUUUUACACUGAUCUGAUUGUGCAAGUAUAUACUUUAAGAUGUUUAUUGGACUUUAGUUGUUUCUCCUUAGAAAAUCUCCCUGACUUUAUUUUCUGACAUACCAACGGUGGGUUGCUAAUGGGGUGUGCGGUUCCAGUUCAGGUUCAAUUCUUUGCAAGAACCGGAAUUGAAACCGGAACUGAACUUCGGUUCUUUCAUUUUCUU